rnacentral:rRNA from 1 species
AUAACUAUUGGAAACGAUGGCUAAUACCGCAUAAUGCCUUCGGGCCAAAGAGGGGGACCUUCGGGCCUCUCGCGUCAGGAUAUGCCCAGGUGGGAUUAGCUAGUUGGUGAGGUAAUGGCUCACCAAGGCGACGAUCCCUAGCUGGUCUGAGAGGAUGAUCAGCCACACUGGAACUGAGACACGGUCCAGACUCCUACGGGAGGCAGCAGUGGGGAAUAUUGCACAAUGGGCGCAAGCCUGAUGCAGCCAUGCCGCGUGUGUGAAGAAGGCCUUCGGGUUGUAAAGCACUUUCAGCAGUGAGGAAGGCGGGUACGUUAAUAGCGUGCUCGUUUGACGUUAGCUGCAGAAGAAGCACCGGCUAACUCCGUGCCAGCAGCCGCGGUAAUACGGAGGGUGCGAGCGUUAAUCGGAAUUACUGGGCGUAAAGCGCAUGCAGGUGGUUCGUUAAGUCAGAUGUGAAAGCCCGGGGCUCAACCUCGGAACUGCAUUUGAAACUGGCGGACUAGAGUACUGUAGAGGGGGGUAGAAUUUCAGGUGUAGCGGUGAAAUGCGUAGAGAUCUGAAGGAAUACCGGUGGCGAAGGCGGCCCCCUGGACAGAUACUGACACUCAGAUG